rnacentral:rRNA from 1 species
AGGUUAAGUUAGAAAGGGCGCAUGGUGGAUGCCUUGGCACUAGGAGCCUAAGAAGGACGGCACUAACACCGAUAUGCUCCGGGGAGCUGUAAGUAAGCUUUGAUCCGGAGAUUUCCGAAUGGGGAAACCCACUGUCCAUAAUGGGACAGUACGUUUACGUGAAUACAUAGCGUAAACGAGGCACACCCGGAGAACUGAAACAUCUAAGUAUCCGGAGGAAUAGAAAGAAAAAUCGAUUCCCUGAGUAGCGGCGAGCGAAACGGGAAGAGCCCAAACCAAGAAGCUUGCUUCUUGGGGUUGUAGGACACUCUAUACGGAGUUACAAAGGAAUGGAUUAGACGAAGCGACCUGGAAAGGUCCGCCGUAGCGGGUAAAAGCCCCGUAGUCGAAAGUUCAUUCUCUCCAGAGUGUAUCCUGAGUACGGCGGAACACGUGAAAUUCCGUCGGAAUCCGGGAGGACCAUCUCCCAAGGCUAAAUACUCCCUAGUGACCGAUAGUGAACCAGUACCGUGAGGGAAAGGUGAAAAGCACCCCGGAAGGGGAGUGAAAUAGAUCCUGAAACCAUGUGCCUACAAGUUGUCAGAGCCCGUUAAUGGGUGAUGGCGUGCCUUUUGUAGAAUGAACCGGCGAGUUACGAUUCCAUGCAAGGUUAAGCAGAGAAUGCGGAGCCGCAGCGAAAGCGAGUCUGAAUAGGGCGAUAGAGUAUGGGGUCGUAGACCCGAAACCAGGUGAUCUACCCAUGUCCAGGGUGAAGGUAAGGUAACACUUACUGGAGGCCCGAACCCACGUACGUUGAAAAGUGCGGGGAUGAGGUGUGGGUAGCGGUGAAAUUCCAAUCGAACCUGGAGAUAGCUGGUUCUCUCCGAAAUAGCUUUAGGGCUAGCCUCAAACUUAAGAAUCUCGGAGGUAGAGCACUGUUUGGACUAGGGGCCCAUCCCGGGUUACCGAAUUCAGACAAACUCCGAAUGCCGAUGAUUUAUGUUUGGGAGUCAGACUGCGGGUGAUAAGAUCCGUAGUCGAGAGGGAAACAGCCCAGACCACCAGUUAAGGUCCCCAAGUAUUCGUUAAGUGGAAAAGGAUGUGGCGUUGCCCAGACAACCAGGAUGUUGGCUUAGAAGCAGCCAUCAUUUAAAGAGUGCGUAAUAGCUCACUGGUCGAGUGGCGCUGCGCCGAAAAUGUACCGGGGCUAAACGAAUCACCGAAACUGUGGAUUGACAUCUUAGAUGUCAGUGGUAGGAGAGCGUUCCAAGGGCGUCGAAGCUAGACCGUAAGGACUGGUGGAGCGCUUGGAAGUGAGAAUGCCGGUAUGAGUAGCGAAAGAAGGGUGAGAAUCCCUUCCACCGAAUGCCCAAGGUUUCCUGAGGAAGGCUCGUCCGCUCAGGGUUAGUCAGGACCUAAGUUGAGGCCGAAAGGCGUAGACGAUGGACAACAGGUUGAUAUUCCUGUACCACCUCCCCGCCGUUUGAGCAAUGGGGUGACGCAGUAGGAUAGGGUGAGCGCGCUGUUGGUUAUGCGCGUCUAAGCAGUGAGGUGUGAAAUGAGGCAAAUCCCAUUUCUAUAACAUUGAGCUGUGAUAGCAAGGGGAUUUAUCCCUGAGUCCCUGAUUUCACGCUGCCAAGAAAAGCCUCUAGCGAGGCGGGAGGUGCCUGUACCGCAAACCGACACAGGUAGGCGAGGAGAGAAUCCUAAGGUGAUCGAGAGAACUCUCGUUAAGGAACUCGGCAAAAUGACCCCGUAACUUCGGGAGAAGGGGUGCUCUGGUAGGGUGUUAAAGCCCGAGAGAGCCGCAGUGAAUAGGCCCAGGCGACUGUUUAGCAAAAACACAGGUCUCUGCAAAACCGCAAGGUGAAGUAUAGGGGCUGACGCCUGCCCGGUGCUGGAAGGUUAAGAGGAGAGGUCAGCGCAAGCGAAGCUUCGAAUUGAAGCCCC